GACGAACGCUGGCGGCGUGCUUAGCACAUGCAAGUCGAACGGAAAGGCCCUGCUUUUGUGGGGUGCUCGAGUGGCGAACGGGUGAGUAACACGUGAGUAACCUGCCCUUGACUUUGGGAUAACUUCAGGAAACUGGGGCUAAUACCGGAUAGGAGCUCCUGCUGCAUGGUGGGGGUUGGAACGUUUCGGCGGUUGGGGAUGGACUCGCGGCUUAUCAGCUUGUUGGUGGGGUAGUGGCUGACCAAGGCUUUGACGGGUAGCCGGCCUGAGAGGGUGAACGGCGACAUUGGGACUGCGAUACGGCCCAGAGUCCUACGGGAGGCAGCAGUGGGGAAUAUUGCACAAUGGGCGGACGCCUGAUGAAGCAACGCCGCGUGCGGGAUGACGGCCUUCGGGUUGUAAACCGCUUUCGCCUGUGACGAAGCGUGAGUGACGGUAAUGAGUAAAGAAGCACCGGCUAACUACGUG
rnacentral:rRNA from 1 species